CUAGGACAGCAAUAAAUGAAGCUGCUUCAUGCUCCACAUUUUUCCCAGCAUUUGGAACUGUCAGAAUUUUUUUUUUUUUUUUGGAUUUUAGCUGUCCAAAUAGGGUUAGAGUGGUAUUUCGUUGUUGUUUUAACUUGCAAUUUCUUAAUGACAAUUUACGUUCAGCAUCUUUUUAAAAGUCAACUUGCCAUCCUUACAUCUUCUUUAGGAUGUAGCCAUUCAGAUCUUUUCCAAGGUUUUUUUAUUGAGCUGUUUCUUUUCUUAUUAUUGAGUUUCCAGAGAUGUUUUAUACAUCUUAGAAAUAUUUUGUCAAUAUCUACAUAAAAUCUUGCUAGAUUUGAUUCAAAUUGCACUAAAUCCAUAGAACAAAAUUGUAAACAAUUAACAUCUUAACAAUUUUGUAUCUUUCCAUCCAUGAGUAUGGUACAUCUCUCCCACAUAAAAAUAUGUGUAACUAUUACAAGGUGAACCACUUCAUAAUAAUUGCAAUCACUACCAAGAUCAAGAAACAGAAUUUUGAUAGCAGUCACAUAAAUCCAUUUGUGUGUUCCAUUACAAUUGCAAUGCUCACAUCAUCAGCAAAAACUACAAUUCUCAACAUAUUCAUCUGUUUCAAGUUCCUCUUACACGUUUCCUGUACUAAACCUGGAAUCAGUCAUUUCUCCAAGAAGCCCUAGAUUCCAUGACAAGAUUUCAUUAAAAACUAAAAAGUCAAAAAACAGAUUAAAAAAAGAUAUUUUCAACAUACAUAAGAUAAUGUAAAGUAAUACCUGCAAUUUCUAAAGAAUAUCUCUAUAUUUUUAUAAAAGUAGUGAAGGCCUCAGGAUAAGAAAAAUGUGAAGCUCCAUCACUAUGAAGUAGAAGUGAAAGCAAUGUACACAGCUGUACCAUAAACAGUUUUCCUUCACAGACCAUUCCCAUAAAUGCCAUUCCCAAAAACACAUCCCCAAGGAGACUAGAGUGUAAUGGCACCAUCUCAGCUCACUGCUACCUCUGCCUCCCGGGUUCAAGCAAUUCUCCUGCCUCAGCCUCCCAAAGUGAUACUCAAGCUGGGAUUACAGGUGCACGCCACCACGCCUGGCUAAUUUUUGUAUUUUUAGUAGAGACGGGGUUUCACCAUAAUGGAGUUCAGUGUAGAGCUAGAAGGCAGCUUGAUAAACUUGGGUUUUGUGAGAAAAUAAAGGGGAAAAGAAACAAACAAAUGAGUCUGGUGCCUCUUUCUAAGAUCUUCCAUCCAUGCCUGAGAAGGCCCACCAAUUUGAGAUGCACCUGUAGGAGCACGCAUUCAGCCUUAAGAUUGCUAAGCAGGGGAAGUGCUAGUGAGUUUACACAAUAAGACAACACCUUGAAACCACGUGGCAAUGUAGAGAUCAGGAUCUCCAGGACACAGAGGUGGCCCAGGAAAAAAUAAAUGGGGGACUGCAGACAUUUAUCAACACAGACAGUGAUGAUGAUGACCACGUUUCCCAUCACUGUCACUGCAUACAAGAGGAAGAAGGUCG
rnacentral:lncRNA from 10 species